AAGAGGGCGACUGAGUCAAACCCAGGCUGACCCCAGCCCAUUUGCAUUCCCCAAACGCCUGCCUGACCUGAGGGAUCCCAUGG
rnacentral:lncRNA from 1 species